UACGGGGGGGGCAAGCGUUGUUCGGAGUUACUGGGCGUAAAGGGCUCGUAGGUGGCCAACUAAGUCAACCGUGAAAUCCCUCGGCUUAACCGGGGAACUGCGUUUGAUACUGGAUGGCUUGAGUUUGGGAGAGGGAUGCGGAAUUCCAGGUGUAGCGGUGAAAUGCGUAGAUAUCUGGAGGAACACCUAUAGCGAAGGCAGCUUGCUGGGACGUUACUGACGCUAAGGCGCGAAAGCGUGGGGAGCGAACAGG
rnacentral:rRNA from 1 species